rnacentral:rRNA from 1 species
UACGAAGGGGACUAGCGUUGUUCGGAAUCACUGGGCGUAAAGCGCACGUAGGCGGAUUUGUAAGUCAGGGGUGAAAUCCCGGGGCUCAACCUCGGAACUGCCUUUGAUACUGCGGAUCUCGAGUCCGAUAGAGGUGGGUGGAAUUCCUAGUGUAGAGGUGAAAUUCGUAGAUAUUAGGAAGAACACCGGUGGCGAAGGCGGCCCACUGGAUCGGUACUGACGCUGAGGCGCGAAAGCGUGGGGAGCAAACAGG